UCCCUGGUGGUCCAUUGGUUAAGAUUCUGAGCUCCCAAUGCAGAGGGCCCAGGUUCUUUCCCUGGUCAGGGAA
rnacentral:tRNA from 1 species